AAGAGGCUCUCUUAUAUAGUAUACUGGAUUUGAUAAUAAGAGACGGUACGUGACACUUAUUUAUUGGACAAAUUCGAUUGAUUAUUUUCUUUCUCUUCCUCUCUCCCUCUCUUUGUUUAUCUGUCUCUCGAUCGAAGUCGUGAAUUGGCUAUGGAAGAAGAUGGAAUCAAAGAAGAUGGAAUCAGAGGAGAUUCGGGUCGGAGGAUAUUUUUGAUGGUCGAUUGAUUUUUAUUCUUUCUCUUCCUCUCCCUCUCUCUCCCUCGAUUGAACUCGGAGGAGAUUGAAUUCAGAGAUUGCCCUUCGCCUUUUUGAUUCCGGUGGCUGUUGGGUAUUGAUAUGUCUGAAUCCAAGGACCACUCUCCGGGAAAGACUGAAUUCGUCCCUGAAGCAGACCCGACAUGCCAUGAAAAGAAACUUAAAGGUUCGAGAAUGAUACAUCAACUGAAAACCAGUAGAUUUGGUCAGAGUCGAAGUGAUCUGAUCAACGUAGUGAGGCAAACUAUGGAGAAGAUGCUCUCAGAACUUUCUGCAGGGGAUAAACUACAGGAGCGAUUGGCUAAAGCGUUGUCAUUGGUAGAUUUAUCAC